rnacentral:rRNA from 1 species
ACAAGCAGAGGGGGCUUAGUGGUGGGGUGACUGCGUACCUUUUGUAUAAUGGGUCAGCGACUUAUAUUCUGUAGCAAGGUUAACCGUAUAGGGGAGCCGGAGGGAAACCGAGUCUUAAUUGGGCGUUAAGUUGCAGGGUAUAGACCCGAAACCCGGUGAUCUAGCCAUGGGCAGGUUGAAGGUUGGGUAACACUAACUGGAGGACCGAACCGACUAAUGUUGAAAAAUUAGCGGAUGACCUGUGGCUGGGGGUGAAAGGCCAAUCAAACCGGGAGAUAGCUGGUUCUCCCCGAAAGCUAUUUAGGUAGCGCCUCGUGAAUUCAUCUCCGGGGGUAGAGCACUGUUUCGGCUAGGGGGCCAUCCCGGCUUACCAACCCGAUGCAAACUGCGAAUACCGGAGAAUGUUAUCACGGGAGACACACGGCGGGUGCUAACGUCCGUCGUGAAGAGGGAAACAACCCAGACCGCCAGCUAAGGUCCCAAAGUCAUGGUUAAGUGGGAAACGAUGUGGGAAGGCCCAGACAGCCAGGAUGUUGGCUUAGAAGCAGCCAUCAUUUAAAGAAAGCGUAAUAGCUCACUGGUCGAGUCGGCCUGCGCGGAAGAUGUAACGGGGCUAAACCAUGCACCGAAGCUGCGGCAGCGAACGUAUCACUUAAAGCGAUUCAGCGGGUUACGAUUGACGGAGCGAAGCGACGUCAAAGCGUAUACAAAGUCGAGUCGGUUUAAGGAUACGUUCGUUGGGUAGGGGAGCGUUCUGUAAGCCUGCGAAGGUGGCCUGUGAGGGUUGCUGGAGGUAUCAGAAGUGCGAAUGCUGACAUAAGUAACGAUAAAGCGGGUGAAAAGCCCGCUCGCCGGAAGACCAAGGGUUCCUGUCCAACGUUAAUCGGGGCAGGGUGAGUCGACCCCUAAGGCGAGGCCGAAAGGCGUAGUCGAUGGGAAACGGGUUAAUAUUCCCGUACUUGGUGUUACUGCGAAGGGGGGACGGAGAAGGCUAUGUUGGCCGGGCGACGGUUGUCCCGGUUUAAGCGUGUAGGCUGGUUUUCCAGGCAAAUCCGGAAAAUCAAGGCUGAGGCGUGACGACGAGGCACUACGGUGCUGAAGCAACAAAUGCCCUGCUUCCAGGAAAAGCCUCUAAGCAUCAGGUAACACGAAAUCGUACCCCAAACCGACACAGGUGGUCAGGUAGAGAAUACCAAGGCGCUUGAGAGAACUCGGGUGAAGGAACUAGGCAAAAUGGUGCCGUAACUUCGGGAGAAGGCACGCUGACACGUAGGUGAAGUGAUUUACUCAUGGAGCUGAAGUCAGUCGAAGAUACCAGCUGGCUGCAACUGUUUAUUAAAAACACAGCACUGUGCAAACACGAAAGUGGACGUAUACGGUGUGACGCCUGCCCGGUGCCGGAAGGUUAAUUGAUGGGGUCAGCGCAAGCGAAGCUCCUGAUCGAAGCCCCGGUAAACGGCGGCC